rnacentral:rRNA from 1 species
UUGCUAGUAAUCGCAGAUCAGCAUGCUGCGGUGAAUACGUUCCCGGGCCUUGUACACACCGCCCGUCACACCAUGGGAGUCGGUAACACCCGAAGUCGGUAGCCUAACCGUAAGGAGGGCGCCGCCGAAGGUGGGAUUGAUGACUGGGGUGAAGUCGUAACAAGGUACC